AUUCAGUCAGUUGAGGGUUUGUGGAUUUAAAGUUGUUCUUGACGUGAUUUAGGAGAAAAAAAUGCUUAAGGACCACUUGAGAGUAUAACCGAAUUUGGAGUAGCAAAACCAGGAAUUGAAUCAAGA